CCUAUAAGGGAAGUUGGGAAAGUUUUUUCGCUAAGAGGUCAGUCUAUGUCCCAUCAGUUUGUUGGUGAGGUAAUGGCUCACCAAGACUAUGACGGGUAUCUGGUUUGAGAGGAUGAUCAGACACACUGGAACUGAGACACGGUCCAGACUCCUACGGGAGGCAGCAGUGAGGAAUAUUGCACAAUGGAGGAAACUCUGAUGCAGCAACGCCGCGUGGAGGAUGACGCAUUUCGGUGUGUAAACUCCUUUUAAGAGGGAAGAUAAUGACGGUACCUCUUGAAUAAGCACCGGCUAACUCCGUGCCAGCAGCCGCGGUAAUACGGAGGGCGCAAGCGUUACUCGGAAUCACUGGGCGUAAAGGGUGCGUAGGCUGGCUUCUAAGUCAGAUGUGAAAUCCAAUGGCUCAACCAUUGAACUGCAUUUGAAACUGGGAGCCUAGAGUUCAGAAGGGGCAGAUGGAAUUAGUGGUGUAGGGGUAAAAUCCGUAGAUAUCACUAGGAAUAUCAAAAGCGA
rnacentral:rRNA from 1 species